GAAACUCAAAGGANNNGACGGGGGGCCCGCACAAGCGNNNGAGCAUGUGGUUUUANUUNGAAGCNNCNCGAAGAACCUUNCCAGGUCUUGACAUCCCUNUGACCGCUCUAGAGAUAGAGUUUUCCUUCGGGACAGAGGUGACAGGUGGUGCAUGGUUGUCGUCAGCUCGUGUCGUGAGAUGUUGGGUUAAGUCCCGCAACGAGCGCAACCCCUAUUGUUAGUUGCCAUCAUUCAGUUGGGCACUCUAGCGAGACUGCCGGUAAUAAACCGGAGGAAGGNGGGGAUGACGUCAAAUCAUCAUGCCCCUUAUGACCUGGGCUACACACGUGCUACAAUGGCUGGUACAACGAGUCGCAAGCCGGUGACGGCAAGCUAAUCUCUGAAAGCCAGUCUCAGUUCGGAUNGUAGGCUGCAACUCGCCUACAUGAAGUCGGAAUCGCUAGUAAUCGCGGAUCAGCACGCCGCGGUGAAUACGUUCCCGGGCCUNGUACAC
rnacentral:rRNA from 1 species